rnacentral:rRNA from 1 species
AGUUGUAUCCUGGCUCAGAACGAACGCUGGCGGCAGGCCUAACACAUGCAAGUCGAGCGCACCUUCGGGUGAGCGGCGGACGGGUUAGUAACGCGUGGGAACGUACCCUUUUCUACGGAAUAGCCUUUGGAAACGAAGAGUAAUACCGUAUACGCCCUUUGGGGGAAAGAUUUAUCGGAGAAGGAUCGGCCCGCGUUAGAUUAGAUAGUUGGUGGGGUAACGGCCUACCAAGUCUACGAUCUAUAGCUGGUUUUAGAGGAUGAUCAGCAACACUGGGACUGAGACACGGCCCAGACUCCUACGGGAGGCAGCAGUGGGGAAUCUUAGACAAUGGGCGCAAGCCUGAUCUAGCCAUGCCGCGUGAGUGAUGAAGGCCUUAGGGUCGUAAAGCUCUUUCGCCUGUGAUGAUAAUGACAGUAGCAGGUAAAGAAACCCCGGCUAACUCCGUGCCAGCAGCCGCGGUAAUACGGAGGGGGUUAGCGUUGUUCGGAAUUACUGGGCGUAAAGCGCACGUAGGCGGAUUGGAAAGUUGGGGGUGAAAUCCCGGGGCCCAACCCCGGAACUGCCUCCAAAACUAUCANUCUAGAGUUCGAGAGAGGUGAGUGGAAUUCCAAGUGUANAGGUGAAA